UAGAGGAGAGAAGAAAAUUUCUUCUGAAAACCCUACCGCAACUCAAAAAUACAAGGGGAAAUUCAGAGCUCCUCGGUUGAAGCUUGAACUAACCAAGCUAAACCGCGAACAAAUCGAACACAGAAAAAGAAUUUGAAAGAAAAAGGCACCGAUGUUCUGCAGAAAUUCAUUCAGAAAUACUCAUUGAAGAUUGGGUAAACGGAGCUAAUCUCGGACCAAGCAAAUCAAGCAUAGGAAACUUGAAGGAGAAAGCCAUUUGAGUUAGAUAAAAAAGUAAAGAGAACGCUCACCUGAGAUCCGACUAUCUCGGUAAGCUUCCGACCAAUAUUUUCUUCUCUCUGAUUUUAAAGCGUUAGAACAAGCACUUGAGCAUGAUAGGUUGUUACUAAAAAUCACUCUUUGCCUUGUAUAUAUGCAAAUCAAGCCUUGACUUUCGUUUUCCAUAUAAAUCUCUUUGUGUGAUGCAUGUUGGAUUCAGAUGAUUUGAUUUGUUUUGAUUAACUCGAAACUAGGUAUGACAAAGUUGAGGUUAAUAUUUCGAUCUGAA
rnacentral:lncRNA from 1 species